UGGGGAAUUUUCCGCAAUGGGGGCAACCCUGACGGAGCAAUACCGCGUGAGGGAGGAAGGCUUUUGGGUUGUAAACCUCUUUUCUCAAGGAAGAACACAAUGACGGUACUUGAGGAAUCAGCAUCGGCUAACUCCGUGCCAGCAGCCGCGGUAAUACGGAGGAUGCAAGCGUUAUUCGGAAUUAUUGGGCGUAAAGCGUCCGCAGGUGGUGUUUCAAGUCUGGGGUCAAAGACCGAAGCUCAACUUCGGAAAGGCAAUGGAAACUGAAACACUAGAGUACGGUAGGGGUAGAGGGAAUUUCCAGUGUAGCGGUGAAAUGCGUAGAGAUUGGAAAGAACACCAGUGGCGAAGGCGCUCUACUGGACCGUAACUGACACUCAGGGACGAAAGCUAGGGUAGCGAAAGGGAUUAGAUACCCCCGUAGUCC
rnacentral:rRNA from 1 species